UACGAAGGGGGCUAGCGUUGUCCGGAUUUACUGGGCGUAAAGCGCACGUAGGCGGUUCGAUCAGUCUGGGGUGAAAUCCCAGAGCUCAACUCUGGAACUGCCUUUGAUACUGUCGAUCUGGAGUAUGGAAGAGGUGAGUGGAAUUCCGAGUGUAGAGGUGAAAUUCGUAGAUAUUCGGAGGAACACCAGUGGCGAAGGCGGCUCACUGGUCCAUUACUGACGCUGAGGUGCGAAAGCGUGGGGAGCAAACAGG
rnacentral:rRNA from 1 species